rnacentral:rRNA from 1 species
AGGAGGUCCCGCCUGCCCUGUGACCAGAAGUUUAACGGCCGCGGUAUUUUAACCGUGCAAAGGUAGCGCAAUCAAUUGUCUUUUAAAUGAAGACCUGUAUGAAUGGCAUAACGAGGGUUUAACUGUCUCUUUUUUCAGGUCAAUGAAACUGAUCUGUCCGUGCAGAAGCGGACAUAUUAACACAAGACGAGAAGACCCUAUGGAGCUUUAGACGCCCACCAACCGCGAAAAGCAGCCUACCUUAACAGAUGCUCUAAACAACGCGGUCCUGGUACAAACGUCUUCGGUUGGGGCGACCGCGGAGGAGAACAAAGCCUCCGAGAGGAAUGGGAACAAACCCUAAAACCAAGAGCCACAGCUCUAAGUCACAAAAAAUUUGACCGACAAUGAUCCGGCUUACUGCCGAUCAACGGACCAAGUUACCCUAGGGAUAACAGCGCAAUCCCCUCCCAGAGUCCAUAUCGACGAGGGGGUUUACGACCUCGAUGUUGGAUCAGGACAUCCUAAUGGUGCAGCCGCUAUUAAGGGUUCGUUUGUUCAACGAUUAAAGUCCUACGUGAUCUG